rnacentral:tmRNA from 1 species
GGGGCUGACCGGUUUUGACAGCAAGGAGGGGGAUUUGUAAGCAUGCAGGCACACGCAUCAAAUGCCUUGAAAAAGGAUGCAAUAAAUUUAAUUGGCGAAAAUAACUACGCUCUUGCUGCAUAACUGAAGUACAGUAGGUUAGCUUAAUCCCCGCAACAGUUGCAGGGACAAGACAUCUCCCAGCGACCACGCCCGUCGGUCAAUGAUUCGGAGGUGCUCAUCGAGAACGGGAUAGUCGGCAACAAGCCUCGGGCUGCCGAUGAAAUUUUAGAGGCUACGGUAGGCCUUGGGUGUCCGUGUCCAGAGUCUGCCCGACAAAUAAUCGCGGGAUAAGCAUGUAGAAAGCACAUCUGUCACUUGUUUGGACGAGGGUUCGACCCCCUCCAGCUCCACUU